rnacentral:rRNA from 1 species
CUACGGGGCGCUGCAGUGGGGAAUAUUGCACAAUGGGGGAAACCCUGAUGCAGCAACGCCGCGUGGAGGAUGACGCAUUUCGGUGUGUAAACUCCUUUUAUAUAGGAAGAUAAUGACGGUACUAUAUGAAUAAGCACCGGCUAACUCCGUGCCAGCAGCCGCGGUAAUACGGAGGGUGCAAGCGUUACUCGGAAUCACUGGGCGUAAAGCGCGCGCAGGCGGCCCCUUAAGUUGGAUGUGAAAGCCUACGGCUUAACCGUAGAACUGCAUCCAAAACUGAGGGGCUAGAGUCUGGGAGGGGAAGAUGGAAUUAGUUGUGUAGGGGUAAAAUCCGUAGAGAUAACUAGGAAUACCAAAAGCGAAGGCGAUCUUCUGGAACAGUACUGACGCUGAGGCGCGAAAGCGUGGGGAGCAAACAGGAUUAGAUACCCUAGUAGUC